AUAAAAAAUGGUAAGUAUAUUUUUAGUUUAGUGUUUAAAUUAAAUAUAUACUUUCAAAUCUUGAUAUUAUCCAAACACGGGAAAGUAAAGUUAUUAGAAAUCAUAUUCCCGAGAUUCAUUUUUCCAGGAAUCAUUUUUCUUGCCAACUUUACUUUCCCGCCAACCAAACAUGACCUAAAUUAAAAAUCUCCAAAUUGGAAAUUCGUCGUUCCUCUUCUCUCGCUCCUCUUCUCCCCUGCGUCGGCGCGUCACUCCUGUCAGCGACAAAGCGCCACCGGCGUUUCUCCUCAGCGUCACGCUUUCGAGCUCUCUUUCUCUCCGUUGAAACCACUGAGGAGUUCUGUGUUUUCCGUCGCAUCGCCGCCCGUCCCUUCACGGCGAAUCAGCGCCGUUGGGGUGUCUCCGGCUGAGGCAGACGCAGCUCGGUCCGUUUCACAGACCAGGUGUCGCCGCCACUAACGGUCAACACCACCGCCACGGCUCCUCGACUAGCCGCUGCUUCGCGGGCGGUCCGGCUGAGACGGCGUGGUCAGCUGCCGUCACUGGUCUUACUGAUACAGCACCACUCCUCGAUCGGAUGAAGAUGAGUCCUUUUCCCCGACUCCCUAUUCUAAAAUUAAAUUCUUAUCGCAACUAUUUGGUUAUUUCUUAGUUCAUUAGAGAAGUUGAACAAAAGGCAAAUUUAGCAAAAACUGAAAUCUUAGGCUUAAAGUUGUGAAUUUAUUUUGCUGGCUGUGAAGGUUUAACAAUACUUGAAGGAAGCUUGUAAUAACAUGAGGGUUUCUAUGUUGUGAGUACUACUUAAGUUACUGAUCUUGAUGUAAAGGCAGUAGCUUGUUGCUUCUAGUUCUAGUGCUUCUACAUGAUGACAUUUUAAUUGGGAGGAGGAUGGAGGUGUAUUACCUCUUGAAGUAGAUACUGAUUCUUUUCCUCUGCCCCUAGAUUCACAGCUUGCCCACUUGUUCCUCUGAUUCCUUUUUGAUAUAUUAGGGAAAGGGUGAGUUUUGUUUUCAUUUGCAGCAUAUCCUUGUGUUUGAUUCACUUUGCAACUGUUUAACUUAAAUUAUUUUUGUGUUAUUUGGUGGUGCUAGUACUUGGUUGUUAGCUUCAUCUUGUCCUCAUAUGGCCAUUUGGUGGCUGGUACAAAUUAGGUUUCAGGUACUUCCAUAAGGAUGGAGGAUUUGCAGGGUUUGACUUGCCCUUCUUGGUGCAACAAUAAUUUGGUUGCCAUACUGCUAUCCGCGCCAUGGGCUCACUGCCCUGCGGUGAGGAUGUGGUUUGGGCUCAGGAGAAAGAGGCCCAAAGUAUAGCUAAUAGAAGCUUUUAGUUUCUUAGCCUCCUUGGCUCAUUCUUCAACAUUUUUUGUAAUAGUAUAGUAUUCCAUUUAGAUUAAUUGUAUUAUUCGAGAUGUAUACGAACAUUUUAGUUCGGGGAGAACUACUUCAUUUCCUUGUUCAACGUUCACAUAUUUCAUAACAUACAUUAGUUCGAUUAUCAAUUUAA